UGUUCUGUGGCUUACUUGGUUAAAGUUCCGGACUAGGAAUACGAAGUAGUGGGUUCAAAUCCCACCAAAACAA
rnacentral:tRNA from 1 species